AGCAGCCGCGGUAAUUCCAGCUCCAAUAGCGUAUAUUAAAGUUGUUGCAGUUAAAAAGCUCGUAGUUGAAUUUCGGGGUUAGCAGGUCGGUCGUGCCAUCGGUAUGAACUGGUCUCGCUGAUCCCUCCCUCUUGACGAACUGUGAUGCCAUUAAUUUGGUGUCGCAGGGAAUCAGGACUGUUACUUUGAAAAAAUUAGAGUGUUUAAAGCAGGCUCACGCUUGAAUACAUUAGCAUGGAAUAAUGAAAUAGGACGUUUGAUCCUAUUUUGUUGGCUUCUAGGAUUGACGUAAUGAUUAAUAGGGAUAGUUGGGGGCAUUAGUAUUCAAUUGUCAGAGGUGAAAUUCUUGGAUUUAUUGAAGACUAACUACUGCGAAAGCAUUUGCCAAGGAUGUUUUCAUUAAUCAAGAACGAAAGUUAGGGGAUCGAAGACGAUCAGAUACCGUCGUAGUCUUAACCGUAAACUAUGCCGACUAGGGAUCGGAUGAUGUUAAUUUUUUAAUGACUCAUUCGGCGCCUUA
rnacentral:misc_RNA from 1 species